rnacentral:tRNA from 1 species
GCCUCGGUAGCUCAGUUCGGCGGAGCGCUGCCUUGGUAAGGCAGAGGUCGAGAGUUCAAAUCUCUCCCGGGGCU